rnacentral:rRNA from 1 species
UACGAAGGGGGCUAGCGUUGUUCGGAAUUACUGGGCGUAAAGCGCGCGCAGGCGGCUAUCCAAGUCAGUGGUGAAAGCCCGGAGCUCAACUCCGGAACUGCCAUUGAAACUGUUUAGCUGGAGUAUGAGAGAGGUGAGUGGAAUUCCCAGUGUAGAGGUGAAAUUCGUAGAUAUCGGGAGGAACACCGGUGGCGAAGGCGGCGACCUGGGUAGAUACUGACGCUGAGGUGCGAAAGCGUGGGGAGCAAACAGG